GCUGGAUCUUUGGGGUACCUACAGUUAAAACAAUGAACAAACAUGGCUCUUCAGGUCCCAUGUGGCACCUAGGCCUUUGAGAACAUCUUUAUACUGUUUGGAUAACCCUCCUACCAGCAUCUUCCAGUGGUUAAUGAUAAGGAUCAAGAAGGGCCUCCUAAGCUAGUAGCUAUUAAUAAUUGUAAACAUGUAUUAUAUACUUAAUGCUCACACUGUGUUGAGUACUUUACAUGAUUAUCUCAUUUAGUCCUCACAACAAAUCUUUGAGGUAAGUAUUACUAUUAAUUGCAUUUGGCAGAAAAGCAAACUGAAGUUUAGUGAAGGCAAAUAACUUGCUCAAGAUGACACUGCUGGUAAGUAGCAGAGCUAGAAGGAACCUGGAAACCUGACUUCCCAGCUCAAGUGCUAAUGAUGGCAUUACUUUGAGUAUUGUUACUGGGACAUCCUCCUGAUCUACUCUAAAAAUCUAGAUCACCAACAUAUAUAUUCCUGGAUGCAGUAUUGCUAAGAACUGGUUUUAACCUCUAGAUCUGUGUUUGAGGACUCACAGAUUCAUUACUGGUCCACAUAUACCAGCAGGGCUUCUGCAUGAUACCCAGUAGGACUUUCUUAAAAUUGUGGAAAGCAUUCAGUGUAUCUUGAGAUGUACUAGUCUUAUGGAUAAUUCAUCUCUUCAGUUCUAUCCAGACCACCUCAUAAAGGAGAAUAUAUUAAGCAUUGCCAGGCUGCAUCAUCAAGCUAUGAAAAAUAGCUUGCCUCUCAAGCCUUCCCUACUUCCCCAUAUCAUUGGAAGCUUUACUUCUAUCCCUGUGGUAUCAGGGAAUAUCUUACUCCUAGAGGAGCCAGACAACAGUGACUUCCACAAUAGCCUCAUGUGGGAGUGAGAGUUAAUAACUUGAAAGAUGGCCGGGUACGGUGGCUCACACCUGUAAUCCCAGCACUUUGGGAGGCUGAGGCGGGCAGAUCACGAGGUCAAGACCAUCCUGGCCCACAUGGUGAAACCCUGUCUCUACUAAAAAUACAAAAAUUAGCUGGGCAUGGUGGCGCGCAUCUGUAGUCCCAGCUACUCGGGAGGCUGAGGCAAGGACAAUUGCUUGAAUCCGGAAGGCAGAGGUUGCAGUUAGCUGAGAUCACACCACUGCACUCCAGCCUGGCGACAGAGCAAGAUUCCAUCUCAACAAAACAAAACAAAACAAAACAAAACAAAACAAAAACUUGAAAGACUGCCCAAGAAAGGUGAAGGUUAGAUCUCAGGGGAUGAUCUUGAAGCAACUGAGACAGACCUAGAAACUUGCCUCAUAUGAUACAAGAAGACCCAGCUUCUUUGUCUCUACCCUGUAGGCACUGGGUAGACAGGUAGGUGAUAUUUUACUUCACAAACAAGGGAACUAAAAGUAUGAACAUUUCUCUGUUCCUCAUUAUCUCUGCCCUAAAAUAUUUUGGCUAUCUAGCCCCAGUUAGAGCGGACUGGCACUGUCUGGUACAGGAGGUAUGCAGCAGAUGUUCUGCAUCUGAGCUCCAUUAUGACUGUCCCCCAACAAAUCAUCCCCCAGCCAGCCCAAGGGAACGUGGAAUUCAGAGGGGAACUGUUCUAACCAGGAGCAGCCAAUUAGAUCCAGGCCAGAGAAACCCAUAUCCAGGCACAAGCUCAAAGACCUGAACAGUGGUGGGGCACCCUCAAUGUUAUGAAGAGAGAAUGAAAAUGAGCUGCUCCUAACUGCUGCUUGGGACCGUAGGUUCUAGUGAGCUGUAGGCCUAAGGUUUACAAGGCCAUAGCCUUGCAACCAAGAGAUAAGUCAAACACCCAAUGUUUAUGACUAGAUCUGCCCUGCUCUUAAUAUCUUCUUUGAUUCACUGCUAGUAGACUGUGUUCUGAUUUAGAGACCCGGACUGUGGAAUAGAAGCAAUAAAAAAACUGAUGGGCAAGGGAAGGUAAGGAGAGGGGUUGAGAAAGACAGAAAAAGAGGCUGGGCAGAGUAAGAUUCUGUCAGGAAAGAAAGAAAGAGAGAGAGAGAGAAAGAAAGAAAGAAAGAAAGAGAAAGAAAGAAAAGAAAGAGAAAAAGAAAGAAAGAAAAGAAAGAAAGAAAGAAAGAAAGAAAGAAAGAAAGAAGGAAGGAAGGAAGGAAGGAGAGGGAGGGAGGGAGGGAAGGAAGGAAGGAAAGAAAGAAAGAAAACGGAAGAGAAGGGAAGGGAAAGUAGGGAGGGAGGGAGGAAAGGAAGGAAGGAAGCAAGGAAGGAAGGAGAAAGAAGAAAGAAAGAGAAAGAGAGAAAGAAAAAAAGAAAGAAGAAGGAAGAAAGGAGGGAGGGAAGGAAGGAAGGGAAGGAAAGAAAGAAAACAAUAUAUUUUCACUAAAAAACCCAUACACCAAAAUCCCAAAACAAAUAUAUUGCUAAUAAAGAUAGCCAAUAAAAUCAACAAUUGGAAUAGUAAUCCAAUCCAGCUGAAUGCUUUACACAAUGGUAUGACAAAGCCUUAAACAUAAGUAUGCUGAGGAUGUAAAAAAAUAUAUAAAUUAAGAUAUAACUUCCCUAAAACAAAAUGGGGAAAAAAAGGAAACUCUUUUAGAUGGGUAUCUAAAAGAACCAAUUCGAAAUAUGGAAAUCAAAAAUAACAAUCAUUUGAAAAAGGAAUGAACCACUCAUACAUACAACAUGGAUGAACCUCAAAAACAUUAUACUAAAUGAAAGUAACUAGAUGCAAAAGACCGGCCGGGCGCAGGGGCUCACACCUGUAAUCUCAAUACUUCGGGAGGCGGAGGCGGGAAGAUCACCUGAGGUCAGGAGUUUGAGACCAGCCUGGUCAACAUGGUGAAACCCCAUCUCUACUAAAAACACAAAAAUUAGCUGGGCAUGGUGGUGGGCGCCUCUAGUUCCAGCUACUUGAGAGGAUGAGGCAGGAGAAUCACUUGAACCCGGGAGGUGGAGGAUGCAGUGAGCCGAGAUUGUGCCACUGCACUCCAGCCUGGGCAACAGAGUGAGACUCCAUCUCGAAAAAAUAAUAAUCUUUUUGGGGUGAUGGAAAUGUUCUAAAACUGAAUUGUGUUGAGGGAGCCACAACUCUAUAAGUUUACUAAAAAUAUUCAAAUUAAACACUUUAAAUGGGUGAAUUUUAUGGCAUAUAAAUUAAAUCUUGGCCGGGCACGGUGGCUCAUGCCUGUAAUCCCAGCACUUUGGGAGGCCGAGGUGGGUGGAUCACCUGAGAUCGGGAGUUCGAGACCAGCCUGACCAACAUGGAGAAACCCCGUCUCUACUAAAAAUACAAAAUUAGCUGGGCGUGGUGGCGCAUACGCCUGUAAUCCCAGCUACUUGGGAGGCUGAAACAGGAGAAUCGCUUGAACCCGGGAGGCAGAGAUUGUGGUGAGCCGAGAUCACGCCAUUGCCCUCCAGCUGGGGCAACAAGAGUGAAACUCUGUCUCAAAAAAAAAAAAAACAAAACAUAAAUUACAUUUCAAUGAAGUUAUUAAAAAUUAUAUUAUCAUUGGAAUAAAAAAGUGUUAUAGUUAAGGAUACACUCUAAACUGGACAUAGUUGAAAAUUAGGAAUUGAAGACAACACUGGGGAACUCUCAGUAUGCCAUGCAGAGAGAUCAUGAGAUUAAACAUGAUAGAGCAUUAAAAGACAGAGAAUAGAUUUUGAGGCUCCAACAAUUAUCUAAUAAAAGUUCCAGAGAAAGAGAAUGGAAGUUGUUUAGAGAAGCAACAUUUGAAGUGGAGAUUGCUAAGGAUUUCUAAAAAACGGAAGAAACACUAAUUUAUUUAUGAAAUAUUCAUCAGGUGUCUGUUUUGUGCCAGGCACUGGGAACUGAACUUAGUGAACAAAUUAGAUGUGCAUUUUCAGUGCCAAGCAGGAUAAAUAAAAAUACCAAGCUACAUAAUAAUAAAACUGCAAAGCUUUAAGGAGAUUUUAAGAUUCUGUCUUAAAGAUUAAAUCUUAAAGAUUUAAGACAUAAUCUUAAAAUCUCCCAGAGACAAAUGAAUGAUUAUCUGCAGAGUAAUGACAGAUCAACAGCAAAUUGAAUAUCAGCAAUAGUGGACGUCAGAAAACAGUAAUGAUAGUGAUGAGAAAUAACCACGUGCACAGAAUUUUUUUUACCCGGACAUACUAUGAUUCAUUAAUGGGGGUGGGGGGAAAAUAUGUCCAGAUAUGCAAAAAAACAAAAGAACUCACCAUCCAUAGAGCUUCAUUAAGAGGCCAGGCAUGGUGGCUCAUGCCUGUAAUCACAGCACUUUGGGAGGCUGAGGUGGGAGGACUGCUUGAGUCCAGGAGUUCAAGACCAGCUUGGGCAACAUGGUAAAACCCCAUCUCAACAAAAAAUUAGAACAUUAGCUGGGUGUGGUGGCAUAGGCCUGUAGUCCCAGCUAUUUGAGAGGCUGAUGAUUGCUUGUGCCUGGGAGGCAGAAGUUGCAAUGAGCAGUGAUUGUGCUCCUGCACUCUAACCUGGGUAACAAAGCAAUACCCUGUCUCAAAAAAAAAAAAAAAAUAAAAUAAAAUAAAAAAAUAAAAAGAAGAUCCAUUAAAGAUGUCCUUUAGCAAGAAAAAAAAAAGAACACAGAAAGAAGACAUGGAAUACAAGAAACAAUAAAUAAAAUGUCAGUAAGUUUAUUUCCUGUUUUAAAAAUACUAAUUUCUGUGUCUUUUCACAUAGAUCGAAGCCCAGUAAUUUUAGGGGGAGAAAAGAAAGAAAAGAAAAAAUAGAAUUAAAGCUAUACCUCUAAAUUACAGUAAGAAGACAGAGCUAGUAUUUAAUGGGUUGUUAAGCAUCCUAAGACCUGUGUUUCGGUUAAGAGCAUAAUACAAAUACUGAAUUAUUAUAAACUAAUAAGAAAUAUGUAUAACUCAUGAUGUAUAUACAAGUUUAAUUUAAAAAUAGAAAUAUCAGCCAGGCACAGUGGCUCACGCCUAUAAUCCCAGCACUUUGGGAGGCCAAGGCAGGCAGAUCACAAGGUCGAGAGAUCGAGACCAUCCUGGCCAACAUGGUAAAACCCCAUCUCUACUAAAAACACAAAAAAAUUAGCUGUGCGUAGUGGCACCCACCUGUAGUCCCAGCUACUUGGAAGGCUGAGGCAGGAAGAUCACUUGAACCCAGGAGGCGGAGGUUGCAGUGAGCCGAGAUGGUGCCACUGCACUCCAGCCUGGCAACAGAGGGAGACAACAUCUCGGAAAAAAAAAAAUAAAAAACUACAAUAAUUACUUAAUUAAGGGAAAAAAAGAGAAAUACCAGAAAUUUUAUCAAGUAGGAAAAAAAGAAGAAAAGAAAAAUUAUAGUAAACAGAAAACACAAAUUAGGUGGUAGAAUUAGGUUAAAAUAUAUCAAUCACAAAAUAUAUAAACGAAUUAAAUUCCCCUAUAUAAAAACAAAAUUACCAAAUUGAGUUUGUAAAAAUUCUAGCUCUGUAUGUCUGGGAUACACAUCUAAAACAAAACUACCCAGGCCAGGUGUGGUGGUUCAUGCCUGUAAUCCCAGCACUUUUGGAGGCCGCGGUGGGCAGAUCACCUGAGGUCAGGAGUUCAAGACCAGCCUGGUCGACAUGGCGAAACCCUGUCUCUACUAAAAAUACAAAAAUUAUCUGGGCAUGGUGGCAGGCGCCUGUAAUCCCAACUACUCGGGAGGCUGAGGCAGGAGAAUUGCUUGAACCCGGGAGGCAGAGGUUGCAGUGAGCCGAGAUCGUGCUACUGCACUGUAGCCUGGGCGACAGAGCAAAACUCUGUCUCAAAAAAACAACAAAAAACACCGAGAAAAGUUAGAAAUAAAAGGAUGAAAAGAGACAGGUACUUUAACUGUUACCCCUGCAAAAGCUGGGGUAGCAAUAUUAAUAUAAGACAAAUAUUAUUUAAGGCAAACAAACUAAAAUGUGGCAUAAUUUUAAUUGGCUGAUAGUGUAAGAAAAUAGAUGCCAUCUGACCUUGAUGUUAGGAACAAUUUCUUUUAUAUAGUCUAGGCAUAAUGACAUUGAAGAAGAAAAUGUAGUCCUAAUAUGCUACCUGGCCCAGCAUUGGACAAUAUUUACAUGGUCAUACUAAUGGAAAUGUUGUUUGGUUUGCAACUUUUAGAGUCAUCUCAGGGAAAAACCAAGGAUGUCUUGGCAGGCAGAAUGAAUAUGUUAUCAACUUGACAAAGUAAAAAUAAAAGUAUGUGGACAUUAGAGAUUAAUGGCACAUGGAAGGAGGAAGAAAGUACAAGAAUUAAUAUAGUGUACAAGAGUUAAUAUUCUUAUAUAGAGUAGGAGUCAAGAGGCCCCGUCAAAAGUUGAUGGAAUGAGAAAUUGGAAGUUUAAGCCCGAGCACUGUGGCUCAUGCCUGUAAUCCCAACACUUUGGGAGGCCGAGGCAGGAGGAUUGCUUGACUUCAAGAGUUCAAGACCAGCCUGGGCAAAAUGGCAAAACCCUGGCUCUACUAAAAAUACAAAAAAUUAGCCGGGCAUGGCGUUGCAUGCCUGUAGCUCCAGCUACUUGGAAGUCUGAGGUGAGAGGAUGGUUUGAGCCCGGGAGGCAGAGGUUACAGUGAGCAAGAUCUCACCACUGCACUCCAGCCUAGGUGACAGAGCCAGAUCCUGUGUCAAAAGAUUUAUUUAAAAAGAAAAAUCAAAAACAAAAACAAAAAAACCAUGCAGCCUGAACAAAUUACUGGGGAUGUAAACCAGAGCCACUGAGUGUGUGUGUCUUGAGAGGAGCUGUAUCUCCGUGGGGUUUCUGUGACUUUUCUUGGCAUUAGCUUUGACACCGGAAUUUUGGUUCUACCAUUGUCGAUUAACAACCAUAAAUUCUCACAUCCACUAACACUGAGGUCAUUGGUAUUGUAGUCCUUCGUGCCUUGAAUGGCAUAUCUGAAUUUCUGCUUUCCUGCUGGGGGCAGCAAUCAACAAUUAUUAGUAUUUCUUCCUGAAUAUAAAGAAGCCUGGCCAGAAAAGGAUGGGUAGCCUUGCAAAGAUUUUGACUGAGGUUCUGAUUAUUCAGCUAGAACCCUUCUCUUCCUUUCAGAUACAAUUUUCCAUAAGGAGUGAAUACCUUUUGGAAGGAAGUUGGAAGUCUAGGUGACAGGGUAAAAGGAGGACUUACUUAUCUCAGUACACACUUUGGUACCUUUCAAAUUUGAGGCAUGAAUUUUAUUUUUUUUAUUCAAAAGGUCUAUUAAAACAUACCUACUUUAAUCUUUAAAUGCUGAAUUGAUAUGUUAUUAAGCUUUUAAGGCUCUCUCUGCAAGGAUUUUUAAGAAGAGCCAGCCUUUUGGAGCCUAAGCCCAAAGAUCCUGUUGACAAUUUUACAGGGAAGAAACCCAACAAAUUUUUAAUGACGUUGGCGGUGUUAUUGCAGAUAAUAAUUAUGAGAGUGCCAAUGAUAAACAGCAACCCAUUGCAUCACCCCACAACCCAAAGCACUGAAGCUUUGUGAAGAGUGAACACCCUGAUUGCCCCAGAAUGGCAUGUCGGUAAUGCCACUGCCAACUUCCCUGAAGGCUGGCCCUGUUCUUGACAUGGCUCCACUUGCUCUCGAGAGUUUCUUCUCUCUACUCUCUCAGCAGAUCAUUCUGUCCUUCAUCACCGGAUUUGGUAACCCUGACUCUAGGAAUUUUCUCCACUCAUUGUCGGAUGCUGUGGUUGAGAAUAACACAUGUAUUUGGGAAGAACCUACCUUUCAGUGAAUUAUAAAUGCUCACUAGUCAAGCAUCAUGCACGGAAAGCAUAUUAUUAAAUGAUGUGUUCGUAUCUCUCAGGUGCCAAGCACGUCCACUAAAGCAUUGUCUGACAAUUGCAGACCUGCAGACAGGGAUUGUGGGGAGAGACAUAUGAAAAUCAUUGCUACAUAGACAUACCACUUAGCCCAAUUAAUCACACAUCAGCUGUCUGAAUGCUGCCUGGCCCAAGGCAGACGCUGAAGUUCCAUAUACCUCAUCGCAUAGACUUGAUCUUUGUCACAGAGGAUUCACCAUCCCUGCUGCUCCCUCCCUCCUUCCCUCCCUCCCUGUCUUCCUCCCUUCUUCUCCUUAUCUUCCCUUCACUCACCAGACAUCCUUUGAGCUAUGUGUGCCAGACGCUCUUCCAAUAAGAAGGUGUCAAGAAUCCUAUGCCAACUUUAAAUUUAGGAAAGUCUGAAAGAUGCUAACAUCAGGAGAUGAGGUGGGGUUUUUUCAGACUCUAUCCUAGAAACAAGUGGAACAAAC
rnacentral:lncRNA from 10 species